rnacentral:rRNA from 1 species
UACGUAGGGGGCGAGCGUUGUCCGGAUUCAUUGGGCGUAAAGAGCUCGUAGGCGGUUCAGUAAGUCGGGUGGGAAAUCUCCGUGCUCAACACGGAGCGGCCACCUGAUACUGCUGUGACUCGAGUCCGGUAGGGGAGUGUGGAAUUCCCGGUGUAGAGGUGAAAUUCGUAGAUAUUGGGAAGAACACCGGUGGCGAAGGCGGCUCUCUGGACCGUAACUGACGCUGAGGCGCGAAAGCGUGGGGAGCAAACAGG